rnacentral:lncRNA from 1 species
CUGCUUUGUAGAUUCCAGUGUCCAGCAACUUGUUAAUGCCAAACUUCUUUACAUUCUGUUUGGUCGCGUAUUUCACACGGGACAGGAUAAAAUGAACAAUUCGGCUUCUUGUUGCUGGAUUGAAAAAUGUGUCUUUGUCUUGAAUAUAAAAGUUGGAUAAAUGUUCCCUUUUAAAAGGAGCAGUGAAAAACUCUUGCUCGGGUUUGAUGAUAUUUUCAUCCACCCUGAAGAGUCUAGUAAACCUGUUGAAAGCUGACUCCCGAGUUUUCAGAUCAUUGGGCUGCAGAGGCAAUUUGAUGUGCAUGACCUCAGCAUAGGUGCACAGCACUUCCCAAGGUGCAUGCACUUUCACAAAAACAGUUUUUUCAUCCAAAACCGAUCGUGUUGCUUCAAGUUGCAGGCCAUUGUUUAUCAGGUUCGAUUCAUACACUUGUCUCUUCCUCUUUUGUUUUUUAUGAUUACUCCUCUUAUGACUCAUUUUUGUUUCAUCUUCAUACACCAAAACAAAGUCAAUUCUUCGCUGCCCAUCGUUGAAGAACAAGGAGUCAGGCUUAUUAUCAAAAUCAGCCCAUUCUGGAGUAUGGAGAUUUUGCUGAUCUGACACAGUUCCAUAAGUGGGAAUAAUCACUUGGUUCAAUUCCAAGACGCUCUCCCCAUCCUCCUCGUCCACCUCUUCGUCCCCCUCCUCUUCCUCCUCUUCCAGGUCCAGCAGCACGUCGGGGUUCUCCGCCUGCAUCGCGCCGUUCCCCCUCCC